UCAAGGAAACAGUGUCAACUUGAUAUUUA
rnacentral:piRNA from 1 species